rnacentral:rRNA from 1 species
AGAGUUUGAUCAUGGCUCAGAACGAACGCUGGCGGCGUGGAUUAGGCAUGCAAGUCGAGCGAGAAAGGGUCCUUCGGGGCCUGAGUAAAGCGGCGAAAGGGUGAGUAAUACCUGAAUAACCUACCUUUGAGAGAGGGAUAAAAUCCAGAAAUGGAUCCUAAUACCUCAUAAGACCACGAAUUUAUAUGAUUUGGGGUUAAAGAAGGCCUCUGAUUUAAGCUUUUGCUCAAAGAGGGGUUCAGGUCCAAUUAGCUUGUUGGUAGGGUAAUGGCCUACCAAGGCUACGAUUGGUAGCCGGACUGAGAGGUUGUUCGGCCACACUGGGACUGAGACACUGCCCAGACUCCUUCGGGAGGCUGCAGUCGAGAAUCUUCCGCAAUGCGCGCAAGCGUGACGGAGCGACGCCGCGUGGACGAUUAAGGCCUUCGGGUUGUAAAGUCCAAUCGCGUGGGAAGAAACGGUAGAGGUUAAUAACCUUCUAUGGAGACGUANUACGG